GGCUGCUCAACACUUCGCCCUGGGAAGCAGCUUCGGCAUCAGCCAAGGAAGCCUGCAAGGAACAAAGUGGGGGCAUAGUGGGAGGGCUGCACCGCAGAUGCGGUACCUGCAUGCUACAGCCCUGUGCACACCUGCACCACUCCCCAAUCAAGUACCUGGAUAACAAAGGGCAUCGAAACAUGAUGCACGAACAUCUUGCUAACUUGACAAGGAACAUACAUCAUUUGACCUGCUACUUUGUCUUAUUCGGCUCAUCUCCCAUUUGGGAAUUGCUCAGUGUCUCUGACAACACGGAAGGCUUCCCACUGAAAUGAAAAGAAGCAGGUGAAAUGUUUGGCAGGUGAAAAUCUGGAUCCCAUGAAGUCAACUUCGGGUGUCAGCAUCAUCUCUGCCAUGCCCUAGCAUGUUACCGCAAGAUGAACUGGAGGGCUGGAAAUAGAGAAGCUGGGAUCCCAUCCAGAAGGGGGGACAUCUGGACUGAGGAGAAGAGUCGUAUAGAUUGAUCAGUGCCAGAAUGGGCACUGACAACAAUGCAAAAAAGCUAAAGAGAAGGCAGCAGAGCAUGAAGUGAUUUGUUACUGCCUAGGAAGAUAUAUCCCAGGAAAAUUCUCUCUACUUGCUGUUGUCUCUCUCUUUGCCAGUCCAGUAAGUAUAGGAACAGAAACACUUUUUUGAAAACUGGUACAAAGAAGAUGCUCACAGCUGAGAGGGUCUUGAUACCAUCAUCACCAAUGUCCUCAAAAAACCAGAGGAAAACAAACGUGGCACAGGCAGGAUAGUUUGCUUUGACUUGACUCCCUUCCAAAAGUCAACCGAAUUAGAAAGGAGCAGAAUUAAGACUGUAUUCCUAACAAUUCUACAUUUUCACACCUUUUCUGUUCUUUUUUCCUUUUCUAAAACAAUUAUUAACCUAGAAGCCAAA